CAGUCGCCGCGGGAAUACGAAGGGGGCUAGCGUUGUUCGGAAUUACUGGGCGUAAAGGGAACGUAGGCGGAUCGUUUAGUCAGGGGUGAAAUCCCGGGGCUCAACCUCGGAACUGCCUUUGAUACUGGCGAUCUUGAGUAUGGGAGAGGUGUGUGGAACUCCGAGUGUAGAGGUGAAAUUCGUAGAUAUUCGGAAGAACACCAGUGGCGAAGGCGACACACUGGCCCAUUACUGACGCUGAGGCUCGAAAGCGUGGGGAGCAAACAGGAUUAGAUACCCCUGUAGUCCCUGUCUCUUAUAC
rnacentral:rRNA from 1 species